AGUUAAAAAUUUCAUCCACUUGUACUGUUAAAAACUAGCGUGGUUGAUAGACUAACCAAACAAUGAUAUUAGCAUGCCAUGUUGACAUGUAAGGACCAAUUUUUAACAAUUGAAAUGGGUAAUUUUUUAACG
rfam:Gossypium raimondii Chr03_contig_825, whole genome shotgun sequence.